UGUAACUGAGCACUCUCUGUCCGUUCUCCUUGCAAGUAUAUAACCUCACCACUCUGUGUCCUGCCUCAUUAUUGUGUUCAUAUCUGUUUUAGGUUGCUUAAACCUGACAUUUACUUGGUCCUUCGAGCCGGAUCCCAACACACCCGAGGACUCCUGUGGGCGGAGCGGAACACCAGUUAAGACCGUGGCCACGGCAGGCCGUGCUUAGAAGCUCGGCCUAAAAAGACCCUUUCCGGGACUGGGCUUUGGCUCGCCAGUUGGAGUCUAAGGGUUGACGGGAAUCCAAGAGGAGGACUACGGUUUGAUCACUUCCAGGAGAGAUUAAACAGCAUGGUGGGUGUGAAUUCAUCUUGCUUUACAACAAGGGGUCCCAUUCACAGAAUGAAAAAGGAGGAGUUGGAUACUGUGGUGACAAUUUGGAAUACCCAUCGCAUCCAGCCAGGUAGCAAUGGACGUGACUUGUUUCACAUCAAACCUUCCUCAUGGAUCAUGUACCUGAGCUUUAGCCAGUCAUUGGACUACUUCUAUCCAAUGGACUGUGACAGGCUGGACAUCAUUCUGGAAGAGGAUGUUUGCGUUUGGAAAACUGGCAUUACCUGUGACCCCAAACCUUUAUGAGAUUUUUGUUUUUGUAUUGGAGGAACGUAAUCCUGAGGCUGGUCAUAACGCUGGCAGGUUGUACAGACAACUGAGGCCCUUGGUUGGAGCACUACUGGGAAACAUUCCAGACAACAAAAACAAGGCCCAUUUCGUAAUAAAGUGGAUUUACCUUUAAAGUCCA